rnacentral:lncRNA from 1 species
GAGAACAGUCUGGAAGACAAUGACAGAGUGCUUGCCUGGGGAGUCGGAGGAGCUCCGGUUAUGUCCAAGCCGAACCCCUGGAGCCUCUGGACUGCCUGGCACUGAGGGAGCGGGAACUGGACGGUGGGCAUGUGGCCGGGAGGAGCCUUCCAACCAGAAGAAACUAAGUUUUCAAGUUUCCUGCUGUGUCAUCUCAACUGGAAAGUGUCGUCCCCCAGGAAGUCUCCUGCCCUCCCUCUCUGCACAGGGAGCCGCUUCCCACUCUGUCCUUCGAUGGACACGCUGAUGCAGCUGGGAAUGAGCUUGGAAACGCUAACUGACCAGAGUGAUUUCUGGGCCCUGAGUGCAUUACAGAUGGAGAAAGCUUCUGAAUUCUCUAUGGAACUCCAGGCCUGACCUUGGGAUGGGAGACGGGCGGCUGGGCGCACAAGGAAAGAGGCCUCGCCUUGCGCCACGGAGGAGGUGCUACCCCGAGCACUGUCUGGGGAGGAUUUCAAGGCUGUGCCCAGGCCACCCCUGAUGGAUGCAUCAGUCACUUCAGCCAUGGUGCCGGCAGGGAGCCCAAGCGCGGGAGCAUCCUCUGUCGUCCUCGCAGCCGGGACCCUCUCAUUUCCUGUCUGCACAGCAGCCCCGGCGUGUUCCUCUGUGAAAGCCAGGAGCACGGGGGUGACGCCUUCUGGGCCUGCCACUGUUCCUUCAGAAGCGACCUUUGACCUCCCCAUCAGCCUGUGCUGCUAGGUCUGGGGUCAUUUUCUGCUCAGAUAUCUCCUCUCCCUGACGAUCGAUUCCCCCUGGAGGGGUGAGCCACUGUCGGGAGGGGAGACGGAGCUGAGCAUGCAAGGAAGGGCAACCCCAGCCCAGAUCCUGGAGGGCUUUGGGCUUCCAGGUAGAAGCCGGUCUUCGCGUCAGCAAACCAAGAAAAUGCCUCCCUGAAAUGGUCUCCAGGUCCCCCCAAACACCUGCCUCCCCCUCCAGCCUUCUCCACUGAUGCCUGCAGCUGCAUAAGUAGUGUUUCAUUGCACCCCAGCAGGAGCUGGUACCGGUUCUUCCCUUGCCUCAUGCUGGGGUAGAUUUUAUUUAGGAUUGGGAGCAGGGAAAGGAGCUAGAGAAAGGAAGGGUUCCAGGAAGCUGGGAAGGGAGAUGUCAGGUGGGGUGAUGGGAAAGGAGGCCAAGGACCACCUUUGCCUGUAUGGUGGGCUGAACUGUGUCCCCACAAAAGAUAGGGCGUCCUAACCCCAGAUACCUGUGAAUGUGACCUUAUUUGGGAAUAGAGUUUUUGCAAAUGGAAUCAAGUCAUGAUGACGUCAUUAGCAUGAGCCUUAAUUUAAUAGGAUUGAUGUCCUUCUAAGAAGAGAAGACAGGGACACACAGGAGAAAGCCAUGUGAUGAAGCAGGCAGGAGCUGGAGCGACACUACCACAGGCCAAGGAACAUUGGGACCAGAAGAGGCGAGGAGGGGCCGUUCCCUAGAGGCUUUGGAGAGAGCAUGGCUCAUCAACACCUUGACUUCAGACUGGUAGCCCCCAAACGGUGACAGAAUAAUUGUCUAUUGUUUUAAGCCCCCUGGCUUAUAGUACGUUGUAAAGGCAGCCCUAGGAAGCCCUAAGCCAGUUUCACUCAUUAUGAUAAAUAUCAUAGAUGAUGACUGUCAUAUAUUGGAUGUGCUGGAGAUCUUCACAGCCACAGAAUAAACUGCAGGCCAAAAAAAGAACAUUCAUAUGAGGUCCCCAGCAGGGGCUGGCUGUGCAAGUCAGAGACUGCAGAACCAGGUAGGCAGACAAAGCGAAAUUGCCUGGAGCUGGACACAUAUGUGCACCACUGGGAAAUAAAUAGACUUGCGGUGGAAAUGACCAACGUGGAUGGCCAGGGAAAUGCCAGCAGCAAUAAAAGAAAAGAGUGCACAAGGCCUGUAAAUCAGCAGAUGCGAGAGCUCCCGAAAAGUAGCGAAGUCUGAAAUAAAAGGCAGGCUCAGGCUGGUGGUCCAAGAAGUUAAAGCAGGAAAUGAGAGCGUGGGCACUGUGUGUGCUGGGCUCCCAAAGACUGCAGGGAGUGGCCAGAUGUCUCCAGAGGCAGCGUCAUGUGGAGCAAAGGGGACCUGAGGAGUGUCAGCAUCCUCAGUCACCUCCUCCUUUGAACCAGCUGUUCGGAAUCUGGUCUCUUACUUAGGAUAAUUGUAGGAACUGACUUUUUUUUUUUUUCUUUUCUCACCUAUUGGCUGACUGAAAGAACCGACUUUUAAAUGAGCACCUCCCUCAUUAGAAUUGCUCAAAUGACAACAGCUGCAGCGGUGGGAGCAGCAGCAAGUUUGAAAAUCCAACAGUCUGCAUUCCACAGUGACAGUAUUCUUGGUCACCUCGGAGACAUGGCAGCCGGGAGCCACGGCUCUCAUUGCUCGGGGUUGGUUGGGUUACCAGCCCUAGGGCUACAGAAUGUAUCUAAAAGAGAGGCUUGGCUGGCAGUUUAAGAGGGGUGCAGGACAGCAGGAUGGGGUUCAUGAGGCAAGAGUGGAUGGAGCCUGUGGCCCAGUUGGGAUGAGAUGGGACAGUUCCAAUGGGCAGGACAAACCCCAGCCACCGUCUCAGGGUAUUUGACAGGAGGUAAACAGCAGACAAAAUCCUGGAGCACAGGGGGGCAGGGCUGUCUCGUUCCCAUGAAUGGCAACAUUGGAGGACUGACCCCCAAGAGCGUGGUUUUGUCGUCAGCCUCAAAGGCAUGGCUUUCUCUCUGGCGUUGGCAGCAGCCGCUCAGCACCAUAGCUAGGGAGCAGCGGCCUAGAUCCCUCACAUUUAUUUCACUUUGACUCUUUUGACCAAAGCACCACUGUUUAAGGCCUCAUUUUUCUUCUCCCAUGUGGAAAAUCAUAUUGCUUAAAUUUAAAAAUGAAGAUAGAUAGAUGGAUGAAAAAAUCCCCAUAGAGCAAAAUUCUGCCUGUGACAAAAAGGUCUCCACGUCUGAGGUGACAGUCAACUUCAAGUGACGCCAAGAACAUCAAAAUCUCUCUAUAAAAAAAGAAUAGGAAGCAAUGGGGCUCGUGAAAAUGCCACAUCAAGAAAAGUCAACAAAUACAUACUUAGUGGUAACUAUGGUUGCAGAGAAAGAGAAAACUUAAAACAAUAUGAACAUAUGUGGUCAUAUAGACUGAAAACCCACCGUGUCAUAAAACCCCAGGACACAGAACGCAUCAGCGUAGACAGCAGCUGUACAGACAAUGCUGGGGCGGUUGUGGAGUGGGAUUAGAAGACAGGAGGCGCCAUCGAGUCAGCUCCAAGGCCAUUAGCCUUGUGACGCCAGCAAAAUGUGUGAGUGGGGAGCCUCUACGUUCUCUCCUGUGAAAUGGGGAUGACAGUACUUCCUUGUAGGGUUGUGGUAACGAAGUUAUUCAGCACAGAGCUUGGCAUGUGGUCAUAACAAGGAGUGGCGGAUAAUGAUAAUAUGGUAACAGUAGGCAUCAUUGUGAGAAGGGACAGAGACUCAAUGUGAAAAGUAUAGAAAGGGCUCUUACAAAUCUCCAAGCACAUAAAAGUCCCUAAAAGACAAAUGGCGAAGGGUUCACAGUUCACAGAAAUGGAAAAAAAGAAAUGAAUGAAUUCAAUGAAUAUUAGGGGAAGAAAACCGUUACUAAUUAGUGACGAAGCACAAAGUAAUCUUCAAAAGUCACUGGAUUUUUCAAUGAGAAGGAGAAGUUAGGCAGCUACCAAAUAGCUGAAAGAAUAUUAAAUCUGAUGGAUCCAGCCAAAUAAAAAUGUUCAUUCAUAGGAUCUGUGGUUGUUGAGGAAUCUUCUAAGUUUCAUAAAUGGCAAAAACUCUUUCUCAGACUUACAGAUCAGACCUCACAUAUGCAUGAGAAGAGAAGCUAUUUUUGUCUCUGGGUUCCAGUUACACAGCCACAGCCUGGAAGCUUUGUUCUCAGAAUUCAUGCUGUCAUCAAAAGGACUCAAUACAAACACUGCAGCCAGCCUGCCAUGGCUUAGCUGUGACCGCAGCUGCAAACUCUUCUGUCAUGUGAAAACUUUUGGCUUUUUCCGGGUGUGGAAUGCCUGUUGGUCCCAGCUCCGCCUGCCUUUCCUCCUUCUGGAAUCGUGUCCAUCCUUUCAGUCAACUCAGUUUGUCCGCAUCUUCCAGGCCUCAUACCUCCGCCUGAUCUGCAUGGCAGUGGUGGGCUUGCUCUUUGUGCUAUUACACUGACUGUGAUCGUGUUUAGUGAGUCAGCUUCUACAAAGUUGACCUGCACCUGUGUGAUGUCUCUCCCUAGCUGGAUGCAGCUUCUCCAUGGGCUAAGUUCAUCAUGUUAACAGUGCCUGCCCCACAGGCCCUCAGGGGAUCUUAGUGGGUGGUCUAUGGAGAGACUUUAGUGGGUAUAUGAAUCCCCAAAAUUGUAGGCAAAGUUUGUGUAUGCUGUGGCCUAUCGACAGCGGGGACUCUGCCGCUGAUUUCUCCUAAGAAGCCUCCUGGGGGUUUGAGCGAAUCGUGGUGGUCUCCUUCCCUCUGGAGUGAUUAGUUUUGGCUUUGGCUCAACAUGGUGCAGACCCAUGGGAUCCAAAGGGAAGUUGGCCGGGCAUUUCUGGGAAGGAUGUCUCUUCUUCUGAUUUCUGAGUGAGGGUAGGAAGCCCUCUUCUUCAUCAGACGCCAUGGCUCUUACACGAAUGAUGCCUAGAGCAGACACAGCCCUUCCAGGACCAGAGGCCAAGGCUGACAAUGGGACAAGAGGGCGGAGGAAGAAGUGGGGAGCACCUAAGCCUUCCUCUGACCAAGCACUGUCCUAACCAAUUCUGAUUGGUUCACUUCUAGUUACAUGAUAUAAUAAACGUCCUAUUUCUUAAGGCACUUUUAACAUGAGUGCAGCAUUUUAGAGUUUCAUCAGGUGAUCCACUGGAUCUGAGUCUCUGCUCAGGCUUAAGGAUGCCCAUAAAAGGUGCCCAAUUAAAUGUUGAUUGGUUGAUUGGCACACAGAGAAUCGCUGGAAGUGCCGCUGAGUCAUCCAGGUGCUAAGAGAGCUUGCCAGGCCUGUCUAGAGGAGGUUGGCCAACUGGAGUGUGUUGUUCUCCCACUCAAGUCCACUGCCCAGUGCUGCCAGGUGUGGGAGAGCAACUCAGAGAGGGCUGGAUGUUAGACCAAGCAAGGUCUUGAGAGUGUCACGCUCAGGGAGAUGCCCAAGAGGGGACCAGCUGGCUGUUUGUGUGGGUGUUUCCUCACUGGGUAAACAGGAGAGAAUCCUCCUUAUCAAGGGCCUGUAGAGUAGAUGGACUUAAGCUUUUGCACCCACUCUGGCUGAGCUGUAGUGUUAAGAAGGAUUCUGAAGCUGUGUCCAUAUUUAACUGGAAACUGUGCCGUGAUUAUUAGUUAAGUGUCCCAUGGAUACAAAUGGAAAGAAUCGAGGCAUUCACGCCAGUGAUUCAUCCCCCCUGUCUAGGGUCUGGUUCUCGGCUUUUUAGAUCAGGAGACUCAGGGAGCCCCUUCAAAGUAGAUACCCACUUCAAAAGUGGGUUCAUCUAUCUCCUGGAAAAUGCCCCACUCCCUUUGAUAGACUGUUCUGCUCAAAAACAUCUUCUGACUGAGCACAGUGGCUCACGCCUUUAAUUCCA